UUUGAUUAUAAUUUAAAGUAGGGCCUGCCCACUGAUAUUUAUAUUGAAGGGCCGCAGUAUUUUGACUGUGCAAAGGUAGCAUAAUCAUUAGUUUUUUAAUUGAAAGCUUGUAUGAAUGGUUUGAUGAGAAAAUGACUUUUUUUAAUUAAAAUUUAAGAAAUUUAUUUUUAAGUUAAAAAGCUUAAAUAUUUUUAAAAGACGAGAAGACCCUAUAGAGUUUUAUUAAUAAAAUUUUUAAGUUUUAGGAUUAAUAAUUUUAAUUUUUUUUAAUUUGAUUGGGGUGAUUAAAAAAUUAAAUAAACUUUUUUUUUAUGAAACCAUUAAUUUAUGAAAAUUUGAUCCAUUAAAAUGAUUAUAAGAUUAAAUUACCUUAGGGAUAACAGCGUUAUUUUUUUUUAGAGUUCAAAUCGAAAAAAGAGAUUGCGACCUCGAUGUUGGAUUAAAGUUAAAUUUAGGUGUAGAAGCUUAAAUAUUUGGUCUGUUCGACCAUUUAAACUUUACA
rnacentral:rRNA from 1 species